GAACAUUUUGUCUGAGUAGUGUAGACAUUCCUCCCUACUCUCAAUAGGGGAUGACCCCCAAAGGGAAGACCUGCUAUCCUCUUGGGGGAGGUGGUGGGGGUAGUUCAGGCUGUAGAAUAUGGCACAGUGGAGGCUCUUAUAGUAACAAACAGGCUUAAAGGACAGUUUGACCUCCAGAUUCACUGAGGGGACUUUAAUUUCCCUCAUUACCAUCCCUGCCAUCUUCUAAAAAUCACCCAUUCAUCCAUCCUCCCAUUCCUCUUUUGUAAAUGAAGUUCAUGGCUCUUGCAUGGAAAUGGACCUUGGCUAUACUCAGAAGGAACACGGUUUACUGGCCUGUCUCAAGGCCCCAACGAGAUCUCCCAGAAAGGAGGCUUUGCUCCCUAGAAAGAGUAGACCUACAGGAUUUCUUAAAGGAGACAACACCUGAAUGCCACCAGUCCCAAGCAUUUGGGCCAAUGGGCUGAAACACUGGAGCAUUCAAGACUCCUCUGAAAAGGCUGUGCAUGUACUUUAAUGCUACAUCCCAUGUUGAAAUUUCCCCUUCGUCCAGGACACAGGGCCUUCGAAGGAGUCUGCGAACCUCAGAUUCUCUAGGCCAAAGUUGACAGUUCUCAACCUUCAAGGGGAACUAACUGCACAUUCAAGAGAGGCGUCCGUGGAUGCUGGGUCUCACUGCCAAAGCCGAACACGGCUUCGGGAUUUCUGCCUUCUCAAGUGGACCUCUGCUGUGCUGGGUGAAUGCCUCUACUCAUUCCCCUACACAACUGUGGGGAUGGUCCAGCUACACAUAGACAGGAAGCCCAGAGAAACGCUCGAUGUGAGGGUCCCCGCAAGCCAGUCGGGCUCUUUCGGCACCUGGCCCCCCCAAAGCUCCUCAACGAGGAGUACAGACUGCCAAGCCCUUCCACUCAUUCAUCAUCAUAAAAAUGUAACUUGCUAUGGCAGCCUCUUGGCCAUUAAGGGCUAUACUUUGUGACCUCUGUCCUUGAGAUCUUUGCUCUGACAAGUUCUAUAGCCUUCUCAGUGCUGCUAUCGUGACGCAGUGUCCCUGCUGUGGCUAAGUAACCUUUCGUUUUGAUCAAGAUUUGUCCACGCAGACUCCUACCUCUGCGCCUUUGCCCGUGCCGUUCCCACUACCUGGAAGGUCUCCCCGUUGCUCUCCAGCUUUGAGGUGGAGACAGAGCAUCUCACACUUCCUUUUGGAGUCUCCUGACCCUUUUGCUCCCUGCUGGACUUGGCGAUGUCCUCUUCUGGGCUCCCCUAGUCCUUGUUUUGGUUGUGAGCGACCGCACCAGGGAGCAAACCUUCUAUGGCCCCGGCCACAGGAGCAGCAAGCACUGGGCAGUGCCCCAGAGGGAAGGACCAUCGCGAGAAUAAAGGCACUGAGAUGUCUGGCAUCUUGCCCAAAUGGCCACUUAUCACCGUGAUUGAGGCACGUCUUAACUUGCUGAAGUGGAAACAGGGUAACUCAAUGCACGCCUCUGCACCAUCCCUGGAAACCAAUCCAGAUCUAUGAGAAGAAAACUGGUCAUCAUAGCACUGGUGAUUCAACGGCACCUGCCUGGCAGGGUGGAGUGUGCCCCAUACAACAGGGCUGGAAGCUGCCACACCAGGUAUUUCUCAUAAGGCGGGUACAGGGAUGGCACCAGACUACAGGAGCAUACUUGUGAUGUCACUCUGAAGAAGUUGGGCCCCGUGAUGGGAAUGUCAUCAGGAAACUGGGUCCACACUGUUUUCUUGUGGCAACACUUCUGGUGGAGGCUGCGAGGGGAUGGGGACAUGCACCAUGAGUGACUCAGGAACCCCCAGCCUCUGUGGCCUGGCUCCUGCCCACCCCUAGCUCUGGGGCCUUGAGAGAGGCAAGCACACGCUCUUCUCGCCUCCAGAGAGCGGCGUGGGGGUGUGGAUACUGCUCAGGCCCUGGCAUCUCGCACGCCUAGGACCAGCCUCUGCCAUUCACAGGACCGUGCAGGCAGCCCCAACAGAGGACAGGGACAGCUCUCUCCUUCUGUAAGUGAGGCAGUCUCAUCCUUCCCUGGAUCCUCAGCAUCUCUUAACCAGCAGUGGCAGAGGUUGAAUUAGAAUGGCACCAGCUUCGGAUAAAAAUCCAGAUCUCGCUUUUCAAAAUGUGUCUAGAGCUGGUGGCUGUAAGGAAUCAAUCAAGCCUCAGCUGUGAUUCUAAUCCUGCCAAGUCCACCUGAGAGCCGACUCAUUCAUCCAGAGAGAGAACGGUUUGGAUGGAGCUCAAGGUGCCUGGCUUGCUGGCAUAGCCCAGACAUCCUCUUAAAGGCCGGGCCACAGAGCUAGAAGGUCUGUCACUACUCAGUUGGGGAAAUCGUCUGAGAAGUUCAAGUCCACUGCCUCGCAACUCAAAUGAGUCAGCCUCACCAACCAAGAAUCGCGUUCAUAAACAGACUCAGAGCCUGCGUGCCGUGGGGUUUCCCCAUCUGCAACUCUCUCACCUGGCCCUCCUGCAGGGCCCGGCGGGGACUGGGGAGGGUCAGUGCUCCCUGGGGCGGGGACUGGGUCUGUUUCCAGGCUCAGUGCCUCUGAGUCAUACAGAUGCCAGGUGGUCCUGCUGCUUACCCUCGCUGAACCUCAGGCUUCUCGUGUAAACAGGGCGCUUUUGAGGAAUUAUUAUUAACAUCUCCCUGUGAGUCAAAGCACCUACUGAGAUAAUGUAUGUGAUGCUUGUAAUAAAUGCAGCUACAUGCCAGGCACUCUG
rnacentral:sRNA from 1 species